AGGUGAAAUCUGGUGCCGGUAGGGUGGGAGAUUGUUAGGUCAAGCGUGCUUUAGGCUGUUAAACUUUAGGCUCAAAGUAGGAUUAGAUACCCUGUUAUACUAAAGCGGGAAUAAGUCACUUGAGUAGUAAAUAGCUAUAUUCUGGAAACUUAAGGGAUUUGGCGGUACUUUAGUCUUGUUAGAGGAAUCUGUUCCGUAAACGAUAUGCCACGAAUUAUCUUUCUCUCUUUGGUAGAUCCGUUUGUAUACCACCAUUAUUAGACAGGUUUUAUAAAAUCUGUUGAAAUAGUUAAAAUCUAGUAUAUUAGGUCAAGGUGCAGUUAAUAGGAGAGUGGGAAAUGGAUUACAAUGGGACGGGUCGAUACGGAUUAAUGAUUGAAAUUUCAUUUUGAAGGUGGAUUUAAUAGUAAGAUUUGUUUAAUAAGCAAUUCUGAUAGAAGCUCUAAUGUAUGUA
rnacentral:rRNA from 1 species